GCGGGACGUGGGGCUGAAGUCCUGCACGCACGAGACGGGCAGCGCAUAGCAGACGUUGUCCUCCAGGAACCGCACGAAGGCGUACAUGGAACCUGGUCCCCAGUACUCCAGUGGCAAAGAGCAGACAGAGCAGAGUGCUGCAGAGGAGGAGGGCUGAAUCUUUGCAUAGAGAUGAAGAAACUUGGAAGCUGAAGUUGAUGCAGCCGUUGGGGAGCUCUCGAGAACUAGGGCGGAAGGGAAACAGGUGGAACCAGCCUGCGUGCCUCCAUUUCCAAGAGGAGCAUGUGGGGGCCAGACCAGGAAGAGCUGCAGCACUUGACAACCCUAAUGCAGGAGGUGUGUGUGCAUGCAGCAGUGGUGAUGUCUGCAUUAUGGCACUCCAGAGGUGCUCUCACAGCACCCUGGGUGGGCUGUGGCACCCUGGUUGAGAACCACUGGUCUAAACCGUGCUGAGAAAUACCCAGUCUCUUCCGAAGCGGAAUCAGCAUAGCCAUAUUUGUGCAAAUGUGGGGUGCAAAUCAAUGAAUUGUGCCCUUCAGCUGGUGGCAGCUUGCAGAGUACCUCAGCAAAACCAUAACAUUUUUUACUACAGUGCUACCUUGGAGUGAACACAGAAGAGGACCCAAAGAGUGUGCACUGGUGCAGUCUCACCCCCCUCCCUUUGAUUCCUGGUCCACCUAAAGUUUAAAACCAACUGUCUGGCAGUGGGAGCAGCAUUUCUAUUCAGGCAGUAAUGAGCAAGUCAAUUGACUUCACGGCACAUUAUAAUCUACCCAAUUCCUUCUAAACUCUGCAUUCCAUAGGCAUUAGGGCUGUGCAAAGCUUCAGGUGCUGAUUCGAUUCGGAGGAGAUUUGGCCCAAUUCAGCAGCCAAAUCUCCCAAUCUGAAUUGAAUAAGGGGACUAAUUAAAAGGUCUGAUUAGAUUUGAAGCUCUUUGAAUUGAUUCGGAAAAGAUUGGGAGAGCUUUGGCAAUUCGGGCAGUUCCUGCUCGCUGUAACAGGGAGCUGCACCUGGACUCAAUGCUGGUAAAUAGGGGGCAGGGGAGUGGGGGGCUGAAGGAGACAGGGGAUGGGGUCCCAUCCCCUGCCUGCUCCCCCAGGCCCCCUGAGUGCUCCCUGACCCCCGCCCACUCUCCCAGCCCCAUGGCUGCCCUGCCUGCCCCAGCUCUCAAUUGUUUAGAAAAAAGCCCCCACUCACCUGCUGCUGGCAGGCGGGCGAUCUCCGCUGACCCCCACUGCCCCAUGCCACGUGGGGGGACUCUGCCACAAGCUCCCUGACCACCGACCACUCUCCCAGCCCCCACAUGACCUCCCUGCCCGCCCCAGCUCCCAGCCCACAUUCACCGGCUGCUGCAGCGGCCUUGGGGUUUUGGGGGCUUGUGGCAGAGCCCCUCACACAGUGCAGGGUAGUGGGGGCAGCAGAGACAACCCCCCUGUGCCUGGCAGGAGCCGGUGAG